rnacentral:rRNA from 1 species
UGGGGAAUAUUGCACAAUGGGGGAAACCCUGAUGCAGCAACGCCGCGUGAGUGAUGAAGGUUUUCGGAUCGUAAAGCUCUGUCUUUGGGGAAGAUAAUGACGGUACCCAAGGAGGAAGCCACGGCUAACUACGUGCCAA